UUUUUCUUUUUUACUAAUUGAUCCUAACGGUGCCUCUAAAACGGUGACACGAUCCGAACCCUAAGUUUUGUGAUCUGUUGCACCCCUACUUUGUAAUAAUGAUUUAAACGUUCAUAAAGAAUAAAUGUCACUGACACUGUGUUCUCCACCUUUGGUUCCAACACUAGAGACUGCACUGAGUUUAGAACCAAAGUGGAUAAAUCACUACAAAACAGGAGAAAACCUGUCCAGUUUAGAUUUUUUUUUUAAAUGCUAAUGGUUGAAACAGCUGCUCCUGUGUUGCAGUCACUAUGGAAUGUACCAAUGUUACAUUCGAAUUGGGGAAUUCAAGAAAAUGUCUCAAGAAGAAAAGAUCAUGCGAGUACUGUUGCUUACAGCAGAAGUGAUCGUCCCCAUCUGUUGUAAAAUCACUUGAAGUGUUAGUUCUCCUUUCUGAAUUGUACUCACUGCUCAGUUUGCUCCCAUGUAAAUAUGCAGUAUUCAUUUAAAAUAUAUAUAUAGUUUUUCAUACUGAAUACUUAAAAACAAUAAAAGCAUGAAAGUUUUGGAAUUCCAAAUGUGAAAGCGAUCCACAUAAUCCUGAUCAGCAUGUGUAGCCUUUAUUAACCAAGACGCUGCCUGUCUAAAGCAUUUAAACAUCCAUGAAAUCUUUCAUCUCAAUAAAUCUUUGGUUCUAUUGGAUUUCAUCCUAAAUAGGAGCCAGUUCUCUUCUGUUAGGCUAUUUUUAAUGCAGAUAAGAAAUGUUGGUUGUUGUCGCCGCUGACCCCUACAGACACACGCUCUUUGACCUACCAUGACUCUUUGACCAAUCACGCGACCAAAAGCUGCUUUCCUCCACAACCCAAUCCGCUGAUUUAGGUUGAUUUUGUAAACACUUCACUACUGUAAUGGGUUGCACAUCAGCGCAAAGCUGCUUUUCACCCCUUUAGAAUCUAAUAACAGUAUGUGAAUUACAUCAAAAGACAAAAAAAUGUCUUUUUUGCUUUGACCUAGGUCUAAAUUACAAAUAAAGAAGCAAAUUCAAAAUCCCUGCAAACAUUUUGAUCAAAAAUAAAUCUGUCCAACUGCAUUUUUGAGAUGCUGAGUGAGGUGUCAAUCAACUGUCUACAGUGAUGGCUUGACUUAGGGACAACACUGUACCAGAGCAUCUCAGUCAUGCGGGACGAGUCUGCAGGUCCUACAAAUGCCAAUGACAGGAUGGUUUCUGCAAGUGACUCUCUUCUUCACUCUCCACAUGCUUGAAACAAGUUGAGUUCUGUUUGGAGGAAGCAUGAUUAACUCUUCAGAGUGGUAGAUGUCUGUGGAGGGGUUUCAGGCGUUGGCUGUAAAAAUUAAGUAGAUGCAUUCGUCCCUACUCAAAGGUUUGGCUGCAUGAAAAUGCAGAGUCCUGAAUAUUUUUGCGCUGCUUCUCUAGCUUCCCUCUGUUCAUAUCCUCGUCGUCUUCACAUUCCUUGGCAGGUCUCAGCCUGCAGUGGAACAAAAAUCCGAUGGGACGCUCUCUGCUCUGUCAGUCAGUCAGCUGCAUUCCCCGCUGUGGUAAAAUUCCAUUCUUGUAUUCCUCAUGUAUUUAUCUGAUCAGUACAGUUACAGCACAGACGUUUGUGCAAAGCACAUUUGUUUGUAAAAGCUGGUGGCGCAGUUGGUAAAAAAGAAAAACACAGUGCACACAUCUAACCACACUUUUUCUGCCUCUACCUAAACACACACAAACACACACACACUGUGUUUUCCCCUUUGAUGAACAAUUACCUCUGUUGGAAUGAAAAGGGAUUUGCUGUCUCUGUUACAUGCUGUUCUCCAGGAGGAUGUUAUGCAAGUCUUCUGCAACCAAAAGUGCUUACUUUGAAAGUCAAACAGCAGGAGGUGUGAGCGAGUAGGAGAGACGGGGCAAAGAGAGAAAAGGAAGACGAUACUGCAGACAGUUGCAACACACAGGACUUUUUCUUAACACAAAGACAACAGAACCGGCAUUUGAGUCCAAACAAAUAUCCUUAAAAAGAUGUUGAUGGUUUUUUGAAAACAAGCUACUUCCACAAACAGAUAGGAGGACCACAAAUGAUCGGAAUCUUCUUUACGGUUGGUUUUGGGAGAAGAACCAUUGACAACUGGACCAAGUGAGUGUGACAUCAUCACUUCUGGCUCCAACCAAAUGAAACUAAUUCAGUCGCCAGUUAUUUGCAAUACGGACGCCGCAACGACAUGGCCAACCAUCUUCACACAUUGUUUCUGAGUGUUCUCCUUCCUGAUUGGGUGUACGGGGUGUGAAACCAGAGCUCCAUAGCUGUCUAAAAAAAAGAAUAAAAGUGAAUAAGCAUCAAACUCUGUCCUGUGAAGAAGCUCAACUAUUGUUGCUGCAUGAAGGCGGAGUAUCAGACCACUUUGAAGGACGCCACCCCUAGAAGUCAUCUCAACCUACUCCAGCUAAAAUCCCCCGAGAGACACAGAUACAAGUAUCUCAACCUGCUGGUUAAAGACAACCUGGACUGACAGACUCCAUGACGUUCCAUCAGUGCUUCCUCAAGACUGAACCGACCCAUCGGUGAGACCUUCUGUGUGACGGAGAGGACGGGACGGUGUGGUGUUGUGAUGCACGACUGCCUUCUGUAACAAACUGUGAGAGCUGACACCUACAACAGGAGGGGGUGGAGAGGCAGGGGAGCUAAUCCAGAGAAAAGAUGUGUGUGACCAUCCACAGACACACCGAGGAGGCAUUUCCUUUGCCAUCAGCUCUGUAACAGCUCUGUGAAUGGGAGGCUGUGUCACUUCAUGUAGUCACAGUGUUGCCAUGCCUCCUUUUCAUUUCUUGUCCUAAUUCUGUGUAAAAGUGGGUAACUUGGUAAAAAAGCAUACAUACUUAUUUGUCAUGCUUGUGUAACGGUGAUGCUCUGAGAAAUUUCAAGUUUCCGUCCAGAUUAUUGGAUGGAUCAAUCAGACAAACCACAAAUGUUGUUGGUGUGCUAAAUCCAUCAUCUGAGCACAAACCUUAAUGAGGCAUCCAGAACAGGAAAGUCAGCAUUGAGUGCUGUCACAGAGUUGAAGCAUGCAUUGACAUAUUUACGGUACAAACAGCUUUGGUUUUAUUUCCAAAUCACGUGGUUCCUUUAUAGAUCAAAAGAACUUAAAAUCUCAGUUGUAAUGACUUAGAAUUAUUGAUGCAACUGUUUGAAUAAGAUGUCAUUUCCCCUUAAAAGUCCAGUUUUAAUGCACGGCACAUCCUCAUUCUAUCAUUUCUGCAUGAACCUACAGAGAACAAUGCAGUCUGAUCACUGUAGAGUCAUUCAGAGGUAAAGCUCGUAAAGAAUAGAAGUGCUUUUACAUGUAUAGAUGUCUUUUUCUUUAUUGGAUUCUACAACAAUCUUUUCAUGUUUAUUAUCAAUGAUAAAAGGAGAAAAAGAAUGAACUUACACCAAAGUCUUAUGGGUAGAAAAUACCAUAUUUAACUUUCUUUCCCUUUUGAAUUUACUGCAGAGGGAGGGUCUGUUUUAACAAGCUCUAUUUUAUUUUGAAAGGACCGUGUGUUUGCUGCUGCCAAAAGAAAUGUUCUGUAUAGAAAAAUAUAACACUAGCAUAAUUUAAAUGUUGGGAAAGUUUAAAAGCCACACUGUGUACAUAGAUGGCUUCAAAAACAUAAAUAAGGGGGAUUUUUCUGAACCUUCUGAACAGAGAGAAACUGGCCUCUUUCAAAAUAAAAGUCAGAUCAUGUCCACAGCCCAGAAGGAAGAGUAAAUGUUUGGUUUCACAUCCUCUUCAUCUCCUCCGGUUUCGGACCAUUUCUCCGCUGCAGAACGGACACUCCGUCACAGCCGAAUGACGACACUAGAAACCCGAAUAUUAUAGUCCUAAAGCCGCAGGAAUCCAGAUGAAAGCCCGUCUCCAUGAUCCACAGCACUGACAGAGUGACCGACAGCACAUUGAUCCACCCCGGUGGAUGGAUGCGGAGUCACUCCGGAACGCUGCAUUCCGUUCUGGUGUGAAAGCAGCACCGAACCGAGUCUGCUGUUGACCUGAUUUAGGCUGUCUCAGCCAGAAACUACCUGUCCUACAGUUUAGAAGUACUCUGUGUUUGACGAGGCUUCAGAAUUCUAAAUGAAUUGUUGUUAAUUAACGCCUCAUUAAUAGUGUUCUUCUCCUACAGGAUGUUGUAAUGUUUCAAAGGUUCAACGUGUUGUUAGUUACUUUAGUCAUGUAUCUUCCAUUGUCAAGUUAAAAUAUUAACCCGCCCCAUUGGGGCAAUUAACGGACUUUGAGUGACAUUCUGGAAGAAAACAACAAG